ensembl:lncRNA
GUGUAGGCGGUGUGUAGGCGGUGUGUAGGCGGUGUGUAGGCGGUGUGUAGGCGGUGUGAAGGCGGUGUGAAGGCGGUGUGUAGGAGGUGUGAAGGCGGUGUGUAGGCGGUGUGAAGGCGGUGUGAAGGCGGUGUGUAGGAGGUGUGAAGGUGGUGUGAAGGUGGCGUGAAGGUGGCGUGAAGGCGGCGUGAAGGCGGCGUGUAGGCGGCGUGUAGGCGGUGUGAAGGCGGCGUGUAGGCGGCGUGAAGGAGGUGUGAAGGCGGUGUGUAGGCGGUGUGAAGGCGGUGUGAAGGCGGUGUGUAGGCGGUGUGUAGGAGGCGUGUAGGCGGUGUGAAGGCGGUGUGUAGGCGGUGUGAAGGCGGUGUGUAGGCGGUGUGUAGGAGGUGUGUAGGCGGCGUGUAGGCGGCGUGAAUGCGGCGUGUAGGCGGCGUGUAGGCGGCGUGUAGGAGGUGUGUAGGCGGCGUGUAGGCGGCGUGAAUGCGGCGUGUAGGCGGCGUGUAGGCGGCGUGUAGCCGGCGUGUAGGCGGCGUGUAGGCGGCGUGAAGGCGGCGUGUAGGCGGUGUGUAGGCGGUGUGAAGGCGGUGUGUAGGAGGUGUGAAGGUGGUGUGAAGGCGAUGUGUAGGUGGUGUGUAGCCGGCGUGUAGGCGGCGUGUAGGCGGCGUGAAGGCGGUGUGAAGGCGGCGUGAAGGCGGUGUGAAGGCGGUGCUCCCGGUCGCUCCUCGCCGUGACGCGCUCCCUCCGGCAGCGAGGAACAAUAGGUGGAACCAGCUGCUGCAGGAGAGUCGGUGUUACUCUGUUUACGGACGCCGGCCUACGUCAGCUCUCCCAGCGUGGAGCAGCAGGGCCGAGGGCGCGGUUGUGUGUGUGCGUCUGUGUGCGUUUGCCUGUGUGUGACACGCUACAAAGAGGGUACCUGCCUACCUGGAAGGAGACCGAUACUCCCCGUUUACCUUCCACUGGGAGGGUGGUGGGUUAAAAGCGUAAACAACAACAACAACAACCAAGUUGCGUGCUUUUAUCUCUUGGCUCAGCUCACUGAUCAAAGGACGGCCGCCACAUAAAAAUAUCACACGGGAAUCAGGAAAUGUUUUCCACUUCUGUUAUAAUGCUGGGAAUCAACCCGGAUCAUAUUUAGUUUCCACUCAGAGAUUAUUUGUCUGUAACUGUGGGAGUCUGAUUAUGACCUUGAGCUCGACACAAAGAACGCUGAGUCACAGAAGAAGGUCACCGGAUUGACAAAUAUCAGAACCUUUGCUGUAAAAUGCAGGAAACAGCUCCGGUCUGAGGAAUGAAGUCAGCGCUUCGUGUGUUAAACGUGCAUUCUUUAAGUAAUCAGUAAUAACUGACAUCAAUUCAUCACAUAUCAUAUUUGUGACAGAUUCCCUUUUUCAUCGUUUUCAAGAUUUUAGCACCAAACAGGAAACACAAUACGGGGCCAUGUGAUUUUCCCUUAAAGAUGGCCGACUCUUUGACUCUUAGCUCCGCUAGCACCGUUAGCUGCUAGCAGCCGCGCACACGUCCGUGCACUGAGCUCGCUGCGAUGUUGCUUUUAAACGGAGGCGAUUGGCUGUGGGAAAAUUCACGCACUUCAUCUUCGUCGGAAAAGUUUGCACAAACUCGCCAAGAACCUUUGCAAUCGACACGAUUCCAUCCAUGUAGCAACGGCAACAUGAUAUCUAGCUCAUAGCUACUGGUCUUAAUGGUGGAUUACACACACUACUGUCCGUAGGGACAACAACAGUAAUGUCGGGGGGACAGAUGCCCCCCCCCCCCCCCCCCC